CCUACGGGAGGCAGCAGUGAGGAAUAUUGGUCAAUGGGCGCGAGCCUGAACCAGCCAAGUAGCGUGAAGGAUGACUGCCCUACGGGUUGUAAACUUCUUUUAUAAAGGAAUAAAGUGAGGCACGUGUGCCUUUUUGUAUGUACUUUAUGAAUAAGGAUCGGCUAACUCCGUGCCAGCAGCCGCGGUAAUACGGAGGAUCCGAGCGUUAUCCGGAUUUAUUGGGUUUAAAGGGUGCGCAGGCGGAGGUGCAAGUCAGCGGUCAAAUUGCGGGGCUCAACCCCGUACUGCCGUUGAAACUGCAUCCCUUGAGUGCGCGAGAAGUAUGCGGAAUGUGUGGUGUAGCGGUGAAAUGCAUAGAUAUCACACAGAACACCGAUUGCGAAGGCAUCUCACGAAUCCGCGAUUGACGCUGAUGCACGAAAGCGUGGGUAUCAAACAGGAUUAGAUACCCCAGUAGUC
rnacentral:rRNA from 1 species